GUUUCUACGUAGAUCAGGGAAUUCGCCAGGACUGUCCUUAGAAUCCAAUAACACUUCACCCCGCCACCAUCUGACCGUGGGAGGUGGUCGACCUGGAAAUUUCGAACUCGGAAGAAAUGUGAUGGUCAUUUUAGAAGUUGGAUGAUGGGAAUUUUGGUACAGAAGAUAAAGGAUCUAAAGCCACCCAUGGGAAUGAUGCGAGAGAAUAAAAAAAGAAAAGAAAAAAAAACGAGAGCCGUAACAUCUUUUGGCAUUAAUGUUCAAUUGUUUGGAAAAUUAAGACGCAAUAAAUUCCUAUAAAAUAAAUUUUUGCCCUUCUCUAAUGCAAACUUUUGCCACACGUGGCCUUCUCGUAAACGCGUGGUCAACCAUCAGUUUAUAAUAUCGAUUUCGUAAUUUAGACGCAAAUUUUCCUGAUAUGUAAUAAUAAUAAUAAAAAUAAUAAUAACAA